GGGGAAUAACUUUUCCACGAUAUUCUCAUUUUUUGAGAUGCACCUCUACCUAAGGGUGUGCAAACUUUUGCACGCAACACUAUCAAAUCGCAUACAGUAUAAUCAUGAAAACUGGCAAGAGGUACACUAGCCUAACUUUGAUCAUUUCAGUGUGUGUGUGUGUGUAGUUUUUAAGAUAUCUACUAAGUAUGCUGUGUCCUGCCUCUAUAAUGUCAUGUAGCCUUGUCCAGUGUGGCUGCGCUCGAUUUGCGCAGAUUAAACACUCUCAUUAGGUCAAUGAAGCACCAGGAGGGUCGCGUGAGGGGCGGGACCGCGAGCCAAAAAAACGGAAAGUCACGGCUAGUGCAGACUUCCUUUCUCCAAGGUGUCACAUCCAGGCAAAAAAAAAAGAGAGAGAGAGAGAGGAAAAAGUCGACAAAAACAAGGUUUCUCUCCAGAACCAUUUUGAAUGCUCUGGGAAAAAACCCCGAGGCGCGUGCAAAAAGUUCAAGCAGGCCUUUUCUUUCAAACACUCCAUGAAAAGUGGGCUCCGGUGUUGUUUACAUGAUUUUUAAAGGAUAAAAUACUCCUACACGGAUAAGGUGGAUACAAUGGCUGACCAGGAAAUAUCUAUGGAUGACAGUAUAACAGAAGAAUCAAACGGUUCGAAGUCUCAGUUUGAAUCUUUUCGACGGGUUUGUUCGAAAGAAUCGAAUCUGUAAAACUGACUCGUGAUGGCCAUCCCUGAACGGCGCAGCGCGGAGUCACGUGGUACAGUGCUGGAGAGCGCUGAGUCAAUGCAGCAAAAAGUCCGCGUGCCUCAUUACCGCCGUCAUCUUCAUCAUCUCUGGUGAAACCGCAAGGAGCUUCUCAGCCUGGUCCUGAUGGAGAUCUGUCAGUCUGACCUCAUCUCUGUUUGACUGAUAUAAGUGAUCGAUCCUCGUUCCAGGGAGGGGAAGAUUGGUCAGAAGUGUUAAGUGUUCGGUUUUUUUGCGCUCCGCUCUCACCACCUUCGCGUUUGUGGACGGCUGCGUGCUUUUCAAAAACGUCCUGUGUGUUUUCCAGAAACGAAACUAUCCCGACGCAGCCAAGCAAGAGCUCGGCCUCGGUGGGAACUUUUUAAGAAAAGCCUCCGGCGUGGACGUCCGUUAUGAUUUGUUGCUUUGAUUUUGUUUAACAGUCGUUUUGGUCAAUACAGGAUUCUGUACGUGAUAUUUCAUAGUCCGUAGUAAAAGUAUGGUUGUAAAAAUUCCGUGUGGGUGUGUGGAGAGGACUGGACUUUCUGUGGUUCCUUUUCAAAGAUAGGCGAGCUAAUGAUUAUGACGGUAACGAAUACACGGAGAGAGAGAGAGAGAGAGAGAGAGAGAGACACACACAGAGAGAGAGAGAGACACACACACAGAGAGAGAGACACACACACACUCAGAGAGAGACACACAAAGAGACACACACAGAGAGAGUGACACACAGAGAGAGAGAGGGACAGUGA
ensembl:lncRNA